GUGGGAGGUAAUUAAAUCAUGUGGGCAGGUCUUUCCCUGCUAUUCUCAUGAUAGUAAGUCUCAUGAGAUCUGAUGGUUUUAUAAAGAGGAGUUCCCCUGCACAAGUUCUCUCUCUUUGCCUGCUGCCAUUCAUGUAAGUUGUGACUUGCUCCUCUUUGCCUUCUGUCAUGAUUGUGAGGCUUCCCCAGCCAUGUGGAACUGUAAGUCCAUUAAACCUCCUUCUUUUGUAAAUUGUCCAAUCUUGGGUAUGUCUUUAUCAGCAAUAUGAAAACAGACUAAUACAGAGGGGUAGGUAUUUUUAUUUUUGCCGUUUUUUUUUUUCAGAUGGGAAAACAAAUCUAGAGUGGCUGAGUAAUCUAACCAGGGGAAACUGUUCACAGUGAAGUUACUGAGGUCAUCAGCUGGUGAGUGUGUUUCUGACAUUAAAACUCCCAAUCCCUGCUUCCUGUCUGCUCAAUGCUCUACGCUCAGAAUUUAGAACAGCACCUGGCAUAUGAAAGGCACAUUGCUUUCAUGACGGAGAUCUGAGGAUCCUUCUAAGAAAUUGUUUAUCCCCAGAGAAAAGACCUGAAGAUACUCACAUUUGUCAGCCACAGUAAAAGGAAGAGCUUACCACUCAAUCUCCUCUGCAAUAAAGCUCCCUAGCUGUUAAAUUUCACUCACAUACUCAAGGCUUCCAAUCAACUUUUUAAUAUCUCACACUUAAAAACUAAAUUGAGGAUGUCUUGAAUCUCCAGACAUUUCAGAAGUCUUUUUUUUUACAUGAACUAGAGAAACCAAAACAAAUAAUCAAAAUAAAUAAAUGAAUAAUGAGGCAGAAGAUAUAGAGAUUUAUAUACGCAUUGAAGGGAAACUGUAAGAAAAAAACCAAACAUAGCUAACAUCUUCAGAGACAGUACAGAAUGAACUGCAUCCAAAAGAUAAUGCAAUCAAGAAGAAACCACCAAAGAAAAUGAUAUCAAUAUGCUGAAGAGAUAUCUGUGCUCCCAUGUUUAUUGCAGCACUAUUCACAACAGCCAAGAUAUGGAAUCAAACUAAAUGGCCAUCUAUAGAUAAAUAAAGAAAAUGUGGUAUGUACGCAAUGGAAUACUAUUCAGCCAUAAAACAGAAUGAAAUCCUUUCAUUUGUGGCAACAUGGAUGAACCUGCAGGGUAUUACGUUAAGUGAAAUAAGCCAGGCAGAGUAAGACAAAUACUGCAUGAACUCACUCACAUGUGGAAUCUGAAAAAGUUGAUUUCAUGGAAGUAGAGAGUAGAAAAGUGGUAUUAAGAGACUGGGGAGGGGUAGGGGGAGCAGGGGCCUGGAUAGGUUAGUCAAUGAAUACAAAGUUAUAGUUAGGAAGAAACAUUUCUGUUGUUUCAUUACACAGUAGGGAGAUUACAGCAAAUAACAAUAUAGUGUAUAUCUCAAGAUACCUCGAAGAUUUUAAAUCUUAUCUCCACAAAGAAAUGAUAAAUGCUUAGAGUGAUGGAUAUGGUAAUUACCCCGAUUUGAUCAUUAUACAAUGUAUUCGUGCACUGGAACAUCACUACACACCCCAUAAAAAUACAAUUAUUGUUCGAUUAUAAAUACAACAUUAUUUUAAAAACUAUCAAAAGCAGAAAGAGUUGUACAAAAGUUAAAAUAUAAUGAUCAAUAAAAAAUAAGUUACAGGUAUGAUAUCAAAGAAAUCUCCCAAAAGAGAAAGCAAAAUUCAAAUAGGAGAAACAAAACAAAAUAAAUCAGAGGGGAGAAUGACUAAAAGAAAGAAUGGAGAAAAUGGGAAGAAAAAAUGAUAAACAGAUAACACCAGAGAAUUUCCAGACCUAAAAAUAAAAUUUUCCACAUAGAAAAGAGCUGAGAGUAAAACAAGAAAUUAAAAGGAAAAUCCAGGUUGUGAAAACCAGAUCACAAGAGAUAAAGAGUAGAUCCUACCAAAAGGAUAAAACAAUUUGAAAGAGAGAAAAUAUAUAAAUAUAUAUAUGGAUGUGCAUAUAUAUAAUUUAAAUCAAAGAGCAGAUAACAGAUGAGAUCAGCCCUCUCUAUAACUGAUAGAAGAAACUAGAAUAUUGGCUAUAAAUACUUAAUUAAAAAUUGUUUUCAAUAUAAAAUUUUAUACCCAAUCAAAUUAUUAAGUAUGAGGAUAGAAUAAAAACAUUUUCAAAUAUGCAAAUUUUAUCUAAAGUUUCUCAGAAUGCUUAGAAUAUCUCAGGAAGUUAUCAAACUAAGUCCCAGAAAAAUAAGUAAAUAUACUAAGGGUGAGAAAUGUAUGGGAUCCAGAAAUAGAGGGUUUAACACACAUAAGCUAAGGAACAUCCCUAAAUAACAUCAAUUAGGACACACAGGGAAUAAUUUUAAUUUUUUCCCCCAUGAUGUAUAACAAAGUGCAAUAUCAUGAGUAGGGUAUAAAAUUAUCUACCUCAUCAUUAUCUUUGAAUUAUAUAUUGCCUUUAAAUAUUUUACCAAUUUGAUACUCAAAAAUAGCUCACCAUUGCUUCACUUUGCAUGUCUUCGCAAACUGAGUUUUAAGAGUUUUUGCACAUAAGUUAUUGGCUUUUUUCCAUCUAUUGCUCAAAUAACUUUAAAUAUCUAUCUCUAUUUUAAGCCAGAGCAGCUCAGAGUUGCUUUUAUUGACUUACCACUUGAUAUUAUGUUUGAUAUUAAACCUACACUGAGGGAUGUUGUAAGAGAAAACCCACUGGUGUUACUGUGUUGACUACAAAGCUUUUGUUGAGGAUACAGCUAUUUUAUGACAUCAUACUCUCUGAGUGAGAAGUCAUAGACCUUGAUUCUGAAGCAAUUGCAUUAUUGUUGUCUUAUGAACACUGUUUCAUAUUCGUCUUCUAAUUUUGUUCUUUUUUUGAUAUAUAAAAAAUUAAAGACAAUAUGCAGUCAAAUAUUUGCAAUAUUUUCACUGAUAUUUUUCCAUUUAUUUUAUCUUUACAAAGCUUUCCUUUACCAUUUUCUCUUUUUUUCAGAGAUGCAGAGGUUGUUUAAUAUUAGGAAAUACAUUAAUAUUAUUUUAUGACUCUAAUAGACAAAAGCAGAAAAUCAUAUAUUUUCUAGAUACACUAGUUUAUUUGACUAGACAGAAGCUAAUUUACUAGUAUAAAAUUUUUAAAAUAAAAUUCAACUUUUUUCUUGCCAACAUUUAUUUUAGGUUCAAGGGGUACAUGUGCAGGUUUGUUACAUGUAUAAAUUGCAUGUUGCAUGGGUUUGGUGUAUAGAGAAUUUUGUCACCUAGUUAAUCAUCAUAGGUAGUUUCUAUCCUCACCCUCCUCCUAACCUCCUCUCUCAAAUAGGCCCCAGUGUCUAUUGCUCCCUUCUUUGUGUCCAUGUGUACUUAGUGUUUAGUUCCCACUUCCGAGUGAGAACGGUAUUUGGUUUUCUGCUUCUAUGUUAAUUUGCUUAGGAUAAUGGCCUCCAGCUUCAUCCAUGUUGUUGCAAAGGCCAUGAUUUCACUUUCAUAUGCUGUGUAGUAUUCCAUGGUGUUUAUAUACCGCAUUUUCUUUAUUCAGUCCACUGCUGAUGGGCAUCUAGGCUGGUUCCAUGUCUUUGCUAUUGUGAAUAGUGCUGUGAUGAACACAUGUAUGCAUGUGUCUUUAUGGUGAAAUGAUUUUCAAAUAGGAUAAACAUACACCUAUCUUUUUUCUUUUUUAAUAGUUUAAUUUAGUACAAUUGUUAAAAUUUUAGUCUACUAUUUAUUUUGAUACAUAGUAUGAAGAAAAGUUAAUACUUAGACUUUUUUCUAAAUAAAUAGCUAAUUUAUCCAUUGAUUAUCUGUUUAAUAAAACAUCUUUUGUUUCCCUGACAAUUGGUUUGAGUGUCUUCUUUUAUAUGCGAUAUUCUUGGAAAUACGAAGACUAUUUCAGAGUUCUCUGUUCCAUUGGUUUAAUCUACUGGUUCUUGUGCCAGAAAACAUUGUCUUAGUUAUUAUAAUUUUGAAAUUGGUUUAAAUAAUCUGUUAUGUAUGUCCUUUUUCACCUUUCAUCUAGGUGAAAAAGUUGCUUAGUGAUUUUUUCCUGUUUCCUCUUGCUCUUAAAUUUUAAAGUAAUUUUAUGUGUCUUAGAAAAAAGCUCAUUUCAAUUUUGUAAUUGACUUAAUUUGAAAUAACUGCCAUAUUCAUUUCUAAUUUGAACUAAAUGCCAUAUUAUGAGUCUUUUAUUAUAACUCAAUUUAAUAUAACUCAAUUUGAAAUAAACGCUGUAUUUACUAUGAGUCUUCUACUAUAAGAACAUAUUGUGUUUUGUCAUAUAUUCAAAGCUGCUUCUCUAUGCUGAAGUAGUUAUGUUGUUUCUUUCAGUCCCAUAUAUUAUUUAAGAAUGAGUGUUUUAUACUUCGUUUUUGCUAGUUUGAAUGCUGGUGUAUAGGAAAGCAAUUGUUUGUGUGUCUACUGUACAGUGGAACACUGGGUCCAAGAGUAUAAGCCUUGGAAUCAGUCAGAUCUGACCUCAAGUACCAAUGGACCUCAGGCCUUGGUAUUGUUUUUCUCAUUUAUAAAAUGAUUCUUUGUGAAAGCUGCCUAACUCAGAGCCUGGUACACAAAAUCUCCUUAAUAAAAGGCAGCCGAUAUAAUACCUUAAGCAUCACCAUUAUCAUCUCACUAUCUUAUACUUUAAUUAAUUCUGAGAUUUAAAUUAACUCUUCACAUUUCCUAGGUAUAUGAACAGAGCAUCUCUAUUAACAAUAAUGGUAUUUUCUAGAAUGAUACGUCACUUCUUUCAUGUUACAUGUGUCACACAUAACUUUCACAACAAUAUUAAAUAACAAUGUUCAUGGUAUAUAUCUUUGUCUUGACUUUUAUUUUAAUGGAACUAUUUUUAAUAGUAAACUCACUCAUUAAGUGUGAGUUUGACUUUUGGUUUAUGAUGUAUAUUCUCAAUAUUAAUAUUUAUCAUAAACUACUUUUAGUUUUCUAAGAUUUUAAACAGAAAGUGAUACUGAAAUUUUAGAAUGAGUUUCCAGAUCAUUUCAAAAGAAUUAAGCUUUUUCAUAUUGGAUACAGUUAUAUAGUAUAUUAUGUUAAUAAUGUUCAUAAUAUUAAGCCAUCUUUGCAUUCCUGGAAUAUUCUUCUUUGGUCAGGAUGGCUAUAUCUUUUAAUGUGCUGUUGAAUUUAAUUUCCCAGCAAUUAAUAUAAAAUUAAUUGCUAGUCAAUUUUUUAAAGCAUCAAAUAAAAGUUUUAGAUCAAUUUCAUUUAUGAAUAUAAAUGUAUAUUCAUUAUUCUGCUCCCCCACUCCCAUCCUGCUACUUCAUCAUGAAUUCAUUUUGGGUUGUCUCAUUGUCACCUUCUCUUUCAUAAUUUUGAUUACUCUGUCAUAUUUUUCUACAUUUUCUGGAGAAAUUCCUAUGGCUAUCCUUCACAACACAUUCAAUUUUCCAUGAUCUCAAUUCUGCUCUGUCACAACAGCAAUGUGUAUUUUAUUUGUGCUGCUGUAUUUUUGAUUCUGUAUUGUCUUUCCAUUUCCCACGUAUUUUCCUAUCCAUUCUGUAUCUUCUUGUUUCAACCCAGUGUGAAUUGCCCUGCUUUUUCUGUCUGCUUGUUUGGGAAAAUCCCCUUUUCAGGACUAGAGACACACACAACAUUGAUGCUAACGGGUCUGGAUCAAAGCCAAAUUGGCAGAAUCUAGCAGAUUUUUAUGGGACUCUACAAGACUAAAGGUGGAGGGUUUUAACUUUUCCUCCUUGCCUUGACCUCUAACACUCUGUAUAGAAGGGAUAUAUGUAAACUACAAAAUUCACAGUAAAUAGACAGGAAACUUGAAGUCUCUGAUUCUACUUGAAGAUCAUGGCUUCUGAAAAUUAGACCUCUUAAACAUUAGGCAUUGCUUCCAACAACUGCUUGCUCGCAGAAACGAAGAGAAAUGAAGAGGCUUCCUUCACUGUAGGUUCUAUCCUAUGGCAUCAGAACAAGAGCAAUCCUGCUUGCCUUAAAGUAGGUAUAAAAGUGCCAAGUGCUUCAUUUCUCUAUUUUUAUCUAUUCGUAGUUUAGAAAACAAACACAAAAAAUAAAAUCUGAACCACUUAUUACAGUAUCCUUAUAAUUGCUCUUUGAUGUAUACAAUCAUAUAUACAUACCCUCAGAAAUACCUGGUCAGAAAUUAGGAGUAGUAAAGAAGGACUACUACUGCUGAAUCCCAUCACUCAAAGUUUAAAUCCAUAUGUGAAGUUCACUAAAUGGAAUAUUUGUGAAAAUUUCUUGGCCAUUCUGACAAUUGGCUGAAAGUCAACUUUUUAUUGUUCCUUUAAUUUUUUUUUUUUUUUUUUGAGACAGGGUCUCUUUCUGUUACCCAGGCUGGGGUGCAGUGGCAUAAUCUCAGCUCACCACAACCUUUGCCUCCUAGGCUCAGGCAAUUCUCCCAUCUCAUUAAAUUUUUGUUUAUCCUCUAUGUCUUCAUAUAUUUUAGUGAGACUUUUGGAGAGUCCACCCGAGUGUCCAAUCACAAACCUAAAUUCCUUUUAACUGGACCAUUUAGUCCAUUUACAUUUAAAGUUAAUAUUGUUAUGUGUGAAUUUGAUCCUGUCAUUAUGAUGUUAGCUGGUUAUUUUGCUCAUUAAUUGAUGCAGUUUCUUCCUAGUCUCG
rnacentral:lncRNA from 1 species